rnacentral:tRNA from 1 species
GUUAAAUUAGUUUAAUAGUAAAACGCUAAAUUGUGGUUUUAGAAAUAAAGUUAUUAUUUAACU